rnacentral:rRNA from 1 species
UACGUAGGGUGCAAGCGUUGUCCGGAAUUAUUGGGCGUAAAGAGCUCGUAGGCGGUCUGUCGCGUCGGCUGUGAAAACUCGGGGCUCAACCCCGAGCCUGCAGUCGAUACGGGCAGACUAGAGUGCUGUAGGGGAGACUGGAAUUCCUGGUGUAGCGGUGAAAUGCGCAGAUAUCAGGAGGAACACCGGUGGCGAAGGCGGCUCACUGGCCCGGUACUGACGCUGAGGUGCGAAAGCGUGGGGAUCAAACAGG